rnacentral:rRNA from 1 species
UAGGGAAUCUUCGGCAAUGGGGGCAACCCUGACCGAGCAACGCCGCGUGAGUGAAGAAGGUUUUCGGAUCGUAAAGCUCUGUUGUAAGUCAAGAACGAGUGUGAGAGUGGAAAGUUCACACUGUGACGGUAGCUUACCAAAAAGGGACGGCUAACUACGUGCCAGCAGCCGCGGUAAUACGUAGGUCCCGAGCGUUGUCCGGAUUUAUUGGGCGUAAAGCGAGCGCAGGCGGUUUGAUAAGUCUGAAGUUAAAGGCUGUGGCUCAACCAUAGUUCGCUUUGGAAACUGUGUCACUUGAUGGCAGAAAGGGAGAAGGGAAUUCCAUGUGUAGUGNGCCGGUGAAAUGCGUAGAUAUAUGGAGGAACACCGGUGGCGAAAGCGGCUCUCUGGUCUGUAACUGACGCUGAGGCUCGAAAGCGUGGGGAGCGAACAGGAUUAGAUACCCUGGUAGUCCACGCCGUAAACGAUGAGUGCUAGGUGUUGGAUCUUUCCGGGAUUCAGCGCCGCAGCUAACGCAUUAAGCACUCCGCCUGGGGAGUACGACCGCAAGGUUG